CAAGCCGAUGAUGAUGGGAUGAUCUCGUUCAUCCUGAACGGGCUUGACUACGACUAUAACUCGUUGGUGUCAUCUAUGAUGGGCCGCGCCAACAUGAACCUAAGCGAUCUAUACGCUCAAGUCAUUGCCUUUGACA